AUUGAACGCUGGCGGCAGGCCUAACACAUGCAAGUCGAGCGGAGCGGCGGACGGGUGAGUAAUGCCUAGGAAUCUGCCUGGUAGUGGGGGAUAACAUCCGGGAACGGACGCUAAUACCGCAUACUCUCAGAUGAGCCUAGGUCGGAUUAGCUAGUUGGUGGGGUAAAGGCCUACCAAGGCGACGAUCCGUAACUGGUCUGAGAGGAUGAUUAGUCAACCUGGAACUGAUACAGGGUCCAGAACCCUACGGUAGGAAGCAGUGGGGAAUAUUGGACAAUGGGAGAAAGCCUGAUACAGCAAUGCCGCGUGUGUGAAGAAGGUCUUCGGAUUGUAAAGCACUUUAAGUUGUGAGGCGUUACCAACAGAAUAAGCACCGGCUAAAUUCGUGCCAGCAGCCGCGGUAAUAC
rnacentral:rRNA from 1 species